AAAACCUCACAAUGGUUAAUGAUUUCCCAUAAAUGAUGCACAAUUCAGAAUUUAGUCCUACUUAACAUAUUAAGAAUGCACAGAAAAUCACUUAAAUCACACCACAAGUCUUUAGUGAAUAGAACUACGAAAAUACUCAUAACUGUAACCCAAAAGCCAAAGAAACAUCAUGCAUUAGUAAAAAAGCUUUAUAAGAAAACAAAACAACAAAACUAAAUGUAGAAACAAA
rnacentral:lncRNA from 1 species